CCUACGGGAGGCAGCAGUGAGGAAUAUUGGUCAAUGGGCGAGAGUCUGAACCAGCCAAGUAGCGUGAAGGAUGACUGCCCUAUGGGUUGUAAACUUCUUUUAUAUGGGAAUAAAACAGGGUAUGCAUACCCUCUUGUAUGUACCAUAUGAAUAAGGAUCGGCUAACUCCGUGCCAGCAGCCGCGGUAAUACGGAGGAUUCGAGCGUUAUCCGGAUUUAUUGGGGUUAAAGGGAGCGUAGGUGGAUUGUUAAGUCAGUUGUGAAAGUUUGCGGCUCAAACGUAAAAUUGCAGUUGAAACUGGCAGUCGUGAGUACAGUAGAGGUGGGCGGAAUUCGUGGUGUAGCGGUGAAAUGCUUAGAUAUCACGAAGAACUCCGAUUGCGAAGGCAGCUCACUGGACUGCAACUGACACUGAUGCUCGAAAGUGUGGGUAUCAAACAGGAUUAGAUACCCCUGUAGUC
rnacentral:rRNA from 1 species